rnacentral:tRNA from 1 species
GCGGGUGUAGCUCAAUGGUAGAGCCGCUGCCUUCCAAGCAGAAGACGAGGGUUCGAUUCCCUCUAUCCGCUCCA